GUAGAUCUGAAGAAUGUUCUCGCGAGGCAGCGGCAGCGCCACUGAAGCCGCACCGGCCGCCUCCGCCGCAGAUGCGCAUCUCAGUCAAGCGAACAUGAGCGGUGUGCCGUCGCCGCCGAUCGACCUCGCUGGGCUUCUGCCGGCAGGGUGGGACAGCUCCAACAGCGUCCUUGCGCGUACGAUCGGGCCGCUGCUCAGCAAUCCGUACUUCAGCGCUGGUGCUGGGUUAUGGGUGCUCACUGUUGGUGGCGCCUUUGGUCGCCAAGCCUCGGUAAUGUUUCAAGCCCUCAUGCGGCGCAAGUUCGUCGUCUCGCUGGAGGUGUCGAACCGUGACAGCGCCUACGAGUGGAUGCUGCGCUGGUUGUCGCGCCAGAAAUCGUUUAAGGUGCAGCAGAUGUCCGUGCUGACCCGAACAGCAUCCUUCGACCACUCGUCGAGCGACCGCACGCAGGCGGAGUGCCUCUUUGGCCCUUGCCCGAAUCAGCGGCACUACUUCUUCUACGAGGGCCGCCCACUGACGCUGACGCGGCGGCGGCGCGACAACGUCAGCCCCGGCUACAGCGAUGAAAUUUUUGAAACGUUGGAGUUCACUACUAUCGGUACGAGGGCCACGGUGCUGCAGAAGAUUGUGAUGGAGGCGCAGCAGUUUGCCGAGCAAGAGGACAGCGAUCAUACGGUGGUGUACAUGAAUGGUGGGAGCAGCUGGACUCGUCAGUCCCGGCCGCGUUCGCGGCGCGCCAUUGAAUCGGUUGUGCUGCCGGAGGGCAUGUCGGAGUUCAUCCUCGCUGACGUCAAGAAGUUUCUCAACUCGAGCUCGUUUUACAGGCAGCUGGGCGUGCCGUACCGCCGCGGGUAUCUUCUGCACGGCCCGCCAGGGUGCGGCAAGACGAGCUUUGUGAUGGCGCUGGCCGGUGAGCUGCGCCUCUCCAUCUCGCUCCUUAACUUGUCGAACCGCAACCUCAACGACGAGUCGCUGACUUCGCUGCUGAACGAGGCUCGCGUGGACACGAUUGUGCUGCUGGAGGACAUCGAUCGCGCCUUCAGUAAUGAGUGCAACGUUACCAUGAGCGGCCUUCUUAACGCGCUCGACGGCGUCGGUGCCCAGGAGGGCCGCUUGGUCUUCAUGACGACGAACCACGUGGAGCGGCUGGACGCGGCGCUGAUUCGGCCCGGCCGAGCAGAUGUCAAGAUCGAAGUCGGGCUGCUGGAUGUGAAUCAGUCGCAGCGCAUGUAUCGCAAGUUCUUCCCAAAGGCAACGGAGGAUAUGGUGGAGGCUUUCGGCCGCGAAUUUCCACCGCACGUGAUCAGCGCUGCUCAGCUACAGUCGCACCUCUUCUUUCACCGUGACGACGCCGUCGCAGCAACUGCGGCGCUGCCGGCAUUCAUAUCCAGCUGUCGCGCCUUCGACGCAAGUAUAGAGCAAAUGCGGAGCGAAAAGGCGAGGCUACAGCGGUCUCUGCCGCGCGCACCACUGCUCGGGAUCGAUACCGAGUAGCUGCGUGCCGCCCGCAACUCUCUGCCUGUCUUCGUCCCUCUUCACCGCCACUCCCACCCACCCACCCACCCAUCCCCUACUCUAUUUCUCUCACCUGCGCUAAACGCCUCUUUUCAAGUAGUCCUGCCGACUUGUUUGCGUGCAUGUUAUCUGCGACACUGUUCCCUCUUCAUCUCUCUUUCUCACUCUAUCUCUCCCAUUCCCUCGCCGCCUAUGUGCCACCACCACCACCACCACCACCGCGUGUUUCUCGUGGGGCUUUCUUUGUGUGUGUGUGUGUGUGUGUGUGUGGCGCUCUUCACAGUAGUGGAUUUUCCUUCAGUCUGCCUCCUCGCCUCCCGGCAUCUCUCUCUCAUCGUCAAAGGCAUCGGCGGCGGCGCUGUUUUCCCUGUGUGGAUGUGCCUUUCGUUUCGUGACGAGGCAGCCUCUUCCACCUGCGCUUCGCUUCCCUACCCGCACCCCCUCGCGAUGCUCAUGAGGACUGUUCCUGACUCCUCCCGACUGUGGCCGCGCGGCCUUCACAUACAUGCAACGUGUUGGGUGUUUAACGGCAACGAUUGCUUUAAAGCUCAUGCAGACGUGUGCGCUUGCAGCAGCGCCGCAUUC
rnacentral:misc_RNA from 1 species